GAUGAAGAACGCAGCGAAAUGCGAUAAGUAGUGUGAAUUGCAGAAUUCAGUGAAUCAUCGAAUCUUUGAACGCACAUUGCGCCCCUUGGUAUUCCGGGGGGCAUGCCUGUUCGAGCGUCAUUUCAACCCUCAAGCUCAGCUUGGUAUUGAGUCCAUGUCAGUAAUGGCAGGCUCUAAAAUCAGUGGCGGCGCCGCUGGGUCCUGAACGUAGUAAUAUCUCUCGUUACAGGUUCUCGGUGUGCUUCUGCCAAAACCCAAAUUUUCUAUGGUUGACCUCGGAUCAGGUAGGGAUACCCGCUGAACUUAAGCAUAUCAAUAAGCGGGGA
rnacentral:misc_RNA from 1 species